GUUAAUGUAGCUUAAGCUAAAGCAAAGCACUGAAAAUGCUAAGAUGAGUAUUCAUACUCCAUAAACA
rnacentral:tRNA from 1 species